CGGGUAGAGUAACACGUGAGUAACCUGCCCCGAAGACUGGGAUAACGACCGGAAACGGUCGCUAAUACCGGAUACCCCCAUUGGAUCGCAUGGUCCGAUGAGGAAAUGAAUUUCGCUUCGGGAGGGGCUCGCGGGCUAUCAGCUUGUUGGUGGGGUAAUGGCCUACCAAGUCGAUGAUCCGUAGCUAGUCUGAGAGGACGAUUAGCCACACUGGCACUGACACACGGGCCAG
rnacentral:rRNA from 1 species